rnacentral:tRNA from 1 species
GGGCUCGUAGCUCAGCGGUAGAGCAGUGGACUCAUAAUCCAUUGGUCGUAGGUUCGAAUCCUACCGGGCCCA